rnacentral:lncRNA from 1 species
AAUGUAUAUGACACACAAUGACCUACACUUGAUUAUCGCUAGCAUCUUAGUAAUAGCAUAUCGUUUGAUCGUGAACAGUUUAAGAACUACGCGAUAAAUCCUCUUUUAUCGAUCAAAAUAGUCCUAAAAACUUCAUCACAACAUAGGUGUUCAUUCGAAGAUGUAAUCUUGUGACAAAAAAAGUCAAAUAACUUUUAUUAUUAAUCAAUUCAUAUAUAUUUAUAAUUAGCACAAUCAUCAAAUGAUUGACUUUAGGACACAAUUCCCAACACAACAUCCUUGGGCGUUGAAACUAAGAGGGAGA